CUCUCCCUCACCCGCAUAGCCCACUCCCUCUUUUCUUUUCCUCUUCCUUUCUUUUCUCUCUCUCUCUUCUCUAUAGCAGCACGAUCUCCUUCUCCCCUCUCUUCCAUUUUCUUCCUCCUUUCUCUUCGUAUCACACACACGCACUCCCGAAAAAAGAUACACAAGGAGACCGUGUGGAGAGCAGUUUGUGAGAGUGAGAUUUUGAGAUGGAGAGUGUGAUGGGUUCCGGCCAUGGGAAUUUUUGUAAGGCACGUGUCAUGAUUGGAAACUUCAACGUGUUCUCCAAUCUAGAGUUCAAGUAACUAGAACACGGAGGAAUGUUGGAGUCAUAAGUCCAAUGCAGCCAAGAUGAUGUUUCUUUGGCUGCAGGUACUCUGGUAUAGUUAAUGGUUUGGUAGCGGUGUAUAUGAAAUGUUAUGACUGAAGCUCAUCGCGACGGUCGUAAUUGCUAGAC